rnacentral:tRNA from 1 species
GGGGUUGUGGCUCACCGGUAGAGCACUUGCCUAGCAUGUGCAAGGCCCUCAGUUCAAUUCUAAGCACCACA